GUUUGUGUUGCUCAGUGGCAGAGCUUCACAUGCCUUGGAAGCAGAAGGUCCCAGGUUCAAGCCCCAGUAUGAAGCCCU